AACGAACGCUGGCGGCAUGCCUAACACAUGCAAGUCGAACGAGACCUUCGGGUCUAGUGGCUCAUGGGUGCGUAACGCGUGGGAACCUGCCUUUAGGUUCGGAAUAACCCAGUGAAAUUUGAGCUAAUAUCGGAUGAUUUCUUCGGACCACAGAUUUAUCGCCUUUAGAUGGGCCCGCGUUGGAUUAGCUAGUAGGUGGGGUAGAGGCCUAUCAAGGCGGCGAUCCAUAGCUGGUAUGAGAGGAUGAACAGCCACACUGGAACUGAGAAACGGCACAGACACUGGCGGGGGGAAACAGUCGAGAAUACUACAGGAGGGAGGAAUGGGUGAUAUAGGAAAAUGGGGUAAAGGAUGAAGCAGUAAGGGUGGGUAAGUGAUGAAGGCGGGAGGGUAGGGAAGAAAGUUUAUACGAGAUGAUAAUGACAGUACCGGGAGAAUAAGCACCGGCUAACUCCGUG
rnacentral:rRNA from 1 species